AGUGAACGCUGGCGUCGUGCCUAAUACAUGCAAGUCGAACGGAGUGUCGCACGGGUGAGUAAUGUAUAUCUAAUCUGCCCUACACUAGAGGACAACAGUUGGCAACGACUGCUAAUACUCUAUAGUGUUGGCUGAGUCUAUAUUGUAUCAGCUAGUUGGUGAGGUAAUGGCCCACCAAGGCUAUGACGCAUAACUGGUUUGAGAGGAUGAUCAGUCACACUGGAACUGAGACACGGUCCAGACUCCUACGGGAGGCAACAGUAGGGAAUAGUGCUCAAUGGGGGAAACCCUGAAGCGGCAACGCCGCGUGGAGGAUGACAGUUUUCGGAGCGUAAACUCCUUUUGUUAGGGAAGCGGUAAUUAACGAAUAAGCAACGGCUAACUCCGUGCCAGUAGCCGCGGUAAUUC
rnacentral:rRNA from 1 species